UAUAUAUCCACUCCACUUCAAAUUCUUUUCUCAUUUAGGUUAUUAUAGAGUGUCGAGCAGAGUUUCCUGUGCUAUACAGUAGGUCCUUGUUGGUUAUCUAUUAUAAAUAUAUUGCUGCAGUGAGCUGCACCAGUUUUUAACUUACACACCCAAGACUGGCCCUGCGGCCAGGUCUUCCAAAGGCCUGGGCUCCCCAGCUCUCCGGUCAUCUCCCCCUGGCUACUGCCCUGGUCCCACGUGUCAGGCGCCCAAGUGUGCUCAGGGCCUGGAUACACGUUCCUGGAACCUCAGGGGCGCUGUUUACCUGCUGGGGCGGGGCCCUGGCAAGAGGCGGGGCCCUGGCAAGGGGGCGGGGCCGUCUGGUGGGUGGGGCGUGGGCGGGGCUUCGUGCCGUGGAAUCAUCCUCCCUCCCUCGACCCCUGCGACUGCACUUGGCUACUGGGAGGCGGGUUCACUUCACCAAAGGGACCCCUGCCUUCCGGCGCUCCUGCCCUCUGUGGCUUGUCCCUUCCACGGAUGCACGCGAGUUUAGUGGGACGGGGGAUCUUUAUACAGUUUGAGCGGUGGUCUUUCGGGAAAACAGUGCACCAGUGCAAAAAAAUUAGGCGCAAGGCUUCGGAGGGACGCCUGCGAGCCAGCAUCCCUGCGGUCCAGGCUCCAUUGGCUUUUAGGUUGGUUUUGUUUACCUUUUCUCGUGAAGGGUUUUGAACCUACACUCAGGGCUGGGCUUAGAGGAGCAGACGUGCAGAGCGGAGCCGCCGUGAUCCCUCCACUCUCCUGGAACCUGGACCCUGACUUCGCUUCUCUUAGUCUGGGCUUCCGAGCGCUCUGUGCUCAAUCGCUCAGCCGUGUCCAACUCUCUGCGACCCUGUGGACUGUAGCCCGCCAGCCUCCUCUGUCUAUGGGAUUUCCCAGGCAAGAAUACUGGAGUGGGCUGCCGUUUCCUCCUCCAGAGGAUCUUCCCGACCCAGGGAUGGAACCCACGUGUCUUGUGUUUCCUGCCUUGGUAGGCAGGUUCUUUACUGCUGAGCCACUGGGGAAGCCCCUCUGCUCCUAAAAGCAGUGAAUCGUUAGGGAUGGGAAACUUUGGAACCUGUCCUGAGCUCUCGUUCUGUCAAACUCCAUGGGGAGGAGCAGGGCGAGGGACACCCUCACCUGUUGAGCGGAGGCUGUGUUCCCUCCCUGCUCGCACCGCAGGGACCAUCUCUUACCUCCCACGAGACUCCUCCAGCCUGACCCUCCCCUGCCAGACAAGAUCACCUGGGUUGGUGCUUUUCUUACACCUUCUGGGUUGUUACCACAAGUGCUCCAAAGCAUUCUCAUCAUUUUUUAAAUUAAAAUCUUAUUUUUAUUAAGGACCAGGUAAAUGAAACAUAGUCAAACAGCAUGAUAACAUUUUUAAAGAAAGGCAGCGACGCCCUGCCCUGCUGAGUGCUGAGAACUGUGCAGCCUUAGAGACGUUUAAGGGUCGAACGAACAGCAUGUGUCUUAUUAGUCAGUGCUGGUCUGCUGGAAGACGGGUCAUGAUUUGGAUCAGGACUUUUUACAUUUGAAUGUGCAUUAAAAAGAAAACACCCAUAGUCCACUCCUGGGCAUAUAUUCAGACAAAACUCCAAUUUGAAAAGACCCAUGCACCCUAGUGCUCAUUGCAGCCCUAUUCACAAUAGGCAAGACAUGCAAAGAACUUAAAUGUCCAUCGAUAGAUGGACAGAUAAAGAAGAUGUAGUAUGUAUGUACAAUGGAAUAUUACUCAGCCAUAAAAAGGAUGGAAUAACUGUAUUUGCAGUGACAUGGAUGCAGCCAGAGAUGAUCAUCCUAAGGGAAAUCAGCCAGACAGAGAAAGACACGUACCAUAUGAUACUGC
ensembl:lncRNA